GAAAAAAUAACUUCGGGAAACUGAGGAUAAUGUUUCAUAGUUGAAUUGGCUUGGAAAAGUUUUUCGACGAAAGGGGUAAAAAAAAUGGUUUUUAUCUGCUAUAGGAUAGGAUCGUGUUCGAUUAUGGUUGUUGGUGAGGUAAUGGCUCACCAAGCCGAUAAUCGAUAGGGGCCGUGAGAGCGGGAGCCCCGAGAUGGGUACUGAGACAACGACCCAGGCCUUACGAGGCGCAGCAGGCGCGAAACCUCCGCAAUACACGAAAGUGUGACGGGGCUACCCAAAGUGUUCAAUAGAACUGUGGUAGGUGAGUAAUGUUCCCUACUAGAAAGGAGAGGGCAAGGCUGGUGCCAGCCGCCGCGGUAAAACCAGCUCUUCAAGUGGUCGGGAUAAUUAUUGGGCUUAAAGUGUCCGUAGCCGGUUUAGUAAGUUCCUGGUAAAAUCGGGUAGCUUAACUAUCUAUAUGCUAGGAAUACUACUAUACUAGAGGGCGGGAGAGGUCUGAGGUACUGCAGGGGUAGGGGUGAAAUCUUAUAAUCCUUGUUGGACCACCAGUGGCGAAGGCGUCAGACUGGAACACGACUGACGGUGAGGGACGAAAGCCAGGGGAGCGAACCGGAUUAGAUACCCGGGUAGUCCUGGCCGUAAACGAUGCAUACUAGGUGAUGGCACGGCCAUGAGCCGUGUCAGUGCCGUAGGGAAACCGUUAAGUGUGCCGCCUGGGAAGUACGGUCGCAAGGCUAAAACUUAAAGGAAUUGGCGGGGGAGCACCACAAGGGGUGAAGCCUGCGGUUCAAUUGGAUUCAACGCCGGA
rnacentral:rRNA from 1 species